GGGCCCGUAGCUCAGUUGGUUAGAGCAGUUCCCUCAUAAGGAAUUGGUCCCAGGUUCGAGUCCUGGCGGGCCCACCA
rnacentral:tRNA from 1 species